rnacentral:rRNA from 1 species
AAGACGGAAGGUGCAAGCGUUGCUCGGAAUCACUGGGCGUAAAGGGUGCGUAGGCGGCUUCUUAAGUCUGGUGUGAAAGCCCAGGGCUCAGCUCUGGAAGUGCACUAGAAACUGGGAAGCUUGAGUACCGGAGGGGAGAGUGGAAUUCCUGGUGUAGCGGUGAAAUGCGUAGAUAUCAGGAGGAAUACCGGUGGCGAAAGCGACUCUCUGGACUGGAACUGACGCUGAGGAGCGAAAGCGUGGGUAGCAAACAGGA